rnacentral:rRNA from 1 species
UACGUAGGGGGCAAGCGUUAUCCGGAUUUACUGGGUGUAAAGGGAGCGUAGACGGUGAUGUAAGUCAGAUGUGAAAGCCCGGGGCUCAACCCCGGGACUGCAUUUGAAACUAUGUUGCUAGAGUGCAGGAGAGGUAAGUGGAAUUCCUAGUGUAGCGGUGAAAUGCGUAGAUAUUAGGAGGAACACCGGUGGCGAAGGCGGCAUCCUGGACCAACACUGACGCUGAGGAGCGAAAGCCAGGGGAGCAAACGGG